UACGAGGGGGGCAAGCGUUGUUCGGAAUUAUUGGGCGUAAAGGGUGCGUAGGCGGUCUGAUAAGUCAUCUGUGAAAUCUAUGGGCUCAACCCAUAGUCUGCAGGCGAAACUGUCGGGCUUGAGUAUGGGAGAGGUGAGUGGAAUUUCCGGUGUAGCGGUGAAAUGCGUAGAUAUCGGAAGGAACACCAGUGGCGAAGGCGGCUCACUGGCCCGAUACUGACGCUGAGGUGCGAAAGCGUGGGGAGCAAACAGG
rnacentral:rRNA from 1 species